rnacentral:rRNA from 1 species
UACAGAGGGUGCAAGCGUUAAUCGGAAUUACUGGGCGUAAAGCGCACGUAGGUGGAUAAUUAAGUUAGAUGUGAAAGACCCGGGCUCAACCUGGGAGGGUCAUUUAAUACUGGUUAUCUAGAGUACAGUAGAGGGAAGUGGAAUUUCCGGUGUAGCGGUGAAAUGCGUAGAUAUCGGAAGGAACAUCAGUGGCGAAGGCGGCUUCCUGGACUGAUACUGACACUGAGGUGCGAAAGCGUGGGUAGCGAACAGG